AGACUGAAGGAGUUGUUGGCCUUUCUGUUUAGAAUGUCAUGAUACUAAUUCCUUUAGCUCGAGUUUCUUAAAUGUGGUUCUGGACUGUUCCCCCCCCCCUUUUUUUUUUGAAGGCAAGUUUCGCACUAGGAGGGUGUAAAGAAUUCUGAGAAAGUUGGCAAGAGUUGAAAAGGAGAGCGGAAAGAGUAAGGGGAUUAAAGAGAAUGUGGGUGUGUUUUCCGUUAACGCGAUCAUCAACAGAGACAGAAUUACCUUGAGUAGUGAGCAGUGAGGGAUGGAUGGGUCAGGAUUCUCUCCCCGACGAAAGAGGAAAGAAAGCAGACAAAAACUAACCGCAUGGUUGGUAAACUGAUUUUCAUUUUGAUAAAUAUUUAUGAAUAAAUAACUUUAUAUGAAAAAAAAACUGCAUGGUUUGAGAACCUUCUCUCUCCUUGUAUUGCCUUGAGACAAUCACAUUUCCUGUCCCUUGUCCCCUCUCUGACCACAGAUGGGCAACUGACCAGAGGCCUUGACAGUGUCCACUGAUGUGGCGUAAGAAGGUGAUCUGGACCACGCUGACGUCCCCCUUCCUCCUCCUAGGCAUUCGAAGUAAGGAAUGUCCAGAGCAUCUGUUCCGUCCAUGAUGGGAAGAGCAGCCAUCCUGACGGGUCUGAGGUGAAGCAAAUUCUUAAAGCUCCCACACUUUGGAGCCCAGCAGAGGCCUGGAGAUGUUUUUCUCCAAGACCAGGUAAGGAAUCAUGGGUUUGUUCUAAAUUUUCAAGGAGACAGAGUUCUUAGGAAAUAUUUCUUCAAGGAGCAGGUGCUCGGGUUU
rnacentral:lncRNA from 1 species